UACGUAGGUGGCAAGCGUGGUCCGGAUUUACUGGGCGUAAAGGGUGCGUAGGCGGACAUUUAAGUCGGAUGUGAAAUACCCGAGCUUAACUUGGGUGCUGCAUUUGAAACUGGGUGUCUAGAGUGCAGGAGAGGUAAGUGGAAUUCCUAGUGUAGCGGUGAAAUGCGUAGAGAUUAGGAAGAACACCAGUGGCGAAGGCGACUUACUGGACUGUAACUGACGCUGAGGCAUGAAAGCGUGGGGAGCAAACAGG
rnacentral:rRNA from 1 species